AUCCAGAUGACGAGUUCCAAAUAAAACAAAAUGCGUAUCCUGGAU
rnacentral:hammerhead_ribozyme from 1 species